rnacentral:misc_RNA from 1 species
ACCUAAGACAAGAUUCCAUUUAACGGAUGGCUAGCGUAAGCUAAGGGAAAGUGCCACAGAAAAUAACCGCUCCUUGAGAGUAAGGGUGAAAAGGUGGGGUAAGAGCCCACCGCGUCCUAAGCAAUUAGGAUCGGACAAGGCAAACCCAAUCUGUAGCAAGAAGUGUAUGGUAAAGUCUUAAGUUUAGGCACUUCGCAAGAGGUGGGUUGUAAAACCCAUCCUAGAUAAAUAACCACCCACG